UUCCGGGAUGUUGGGGCACCUAGGAAAAGUUUGCCUCAGGGCGCUUCUAACGUAGUUACGCCACUGGUCUUUGAUAUCUGGGCGUGUGUCAUCCAUUGUUUUUGGUUCUGUCCCUGUUUCUUUUGCUAAGUACGUCUCAUGACCAGCCAUAACGCAGACUGUUGAAAAUCAUCUCAUUGCUUUGCGGUGGUAAGAUAACAUGAGGAGGGAGGGACAAAGACCCACCCUAAAGCGAUGCCAUCAGUAACGUCUACAGGGUUAGCACGGGAAGAGUGUGUUGUGAAGUCAGGGCGCCCCUCUCCUGACCUCCUGCUUUGUAGUAGCACUGUAGCACCAUCUGUAAUGUUACAAGGGCGAGGCGGAUGUCUGUUGUCGUCUCUGCUAACAUUGGGAAACACUCGUAUCCAUUUGGACUGAUGCAAAAGAAUAACCGCUUGGCUGUAUUAGAUACCUCAGUCUCAACUGUCUGUUUUUUCGCAGAAUAUCCAGAUUUUUGCCUCAUAUUUUUGGUCUGUUCCUGAUAAAAUCGUGUGUUUUUUCUGGACAAUCAGAGGACUGAAGUCAACAGACAGUGACCCAGUUUUGCGCUUCGGAUUGCUAACUCCUCCUAUGUUAACGCUUUAACGCUUGACAUAAGGCUUGCACAGGCUGCUGUUAGCCGGUGCACAGACACGUAUGCAGCCUUCAGUGCGCACCUCCUGCUGUCCACCUGCCGGAUGAAUCUCCCUUAGUCCAGAGCGCUGCGUGGUGCACUGGUGCUGCUGCUGGGCGUUGGGGAGGGGCGGGACGCAGCGCUAUUACUGCCUGUGUUCGCUUACUUAAAAAAUAAACAAAGACUACAAGAAAUAGACUAUGGAUUGAUUUUGCUAUGAAUUUUGGAUGCGACACUGGAUUUUAUGCGAUGAAUUUAAUCCCCAUCUGCUGCCUUAUCUUUGCUCCAGUCGCAGGUGCAAUAAUUCAUGUCAUUGGAGUUGAGGGAGAGGCAGUUCUCCUAACUUUCCCAUUGACAGAAGGAUCAGAAGCAAUUGCUAUUGACUGGAGGUACAAAAAACAACAGACGGAGACAAAAAUUGCAUCAUUUGCUCAUGGAAUCAUUACAACUGAUGAUGAUAUUCAGUUUAACACACGGCUGAUACUAAACACAACUGUCGUGUUUUUGCAAAUUGAGCCGUUGCAUUUACAAGACAGUGGACUUUAUGUUGUUGAAAUUAAGCUUCAAGACAAACGUAAAGUCUUUGAGCGUUUUAACCUUACAGUAUAUGUGAAAAUUUCAAACACAUUUUUAAAGAAGAAAGCAGGAAGCAACCACUGUACAGCAGAAGAGUCCGGAAAAUUGGCUGAUGUGAGCAGUAAACACAACUGUAGUUUUAUUCUGGAGUGUGGAGCAGAGAAAGGAAACUACAUACAUUUCUAUUGGCAGAAGAGUGGUGCAAAUCUUACUAGAUGGAUCAGUGACUGUUCACCCCACUCUGUUAACUGCUCGCUGAUGGAAGUACCCACUGACCAAGAAAACUGCAACGCCAAUUACAGCUGUACAGCUAGUAAUGUAGUCAGUACAGAAACAAAGUAUAUUAUUCCAUGCUUCACAGCUCAAGAGAAGACUUGUCGUGAUCGCUAUUUUAUUGGAUUAAGUGUUGUAUCUCUGAUGCUUGUGGCUAUGGGACUAAGUGCAAAGUUUUAUAUAAGACAGAAGAAUGAAGGGAAACACAAAGCUGUAUCUUCACUUAAACAUGCAGAGAAUUGUGAAGAAUAAUUUCGUGAAAUAGUCUAUGCUGAUUUAAAGGUGUGCAUUCAUAAGAAAUCUGAGAAUACAGCAGAAUGAGAUUUCUGUGCAUAACACAAGACUAAAGAACAUCUCUUAACUGACUUAGCGCUUCCAAAUCUGCCCUAUUGUGGUUCAAUGCAUCAUGUACCUUUGGGAUAAAGGCAACACCAAAUCAAAAUGAAGUGGUCGAGUUCAUCAUUUUCUUAAAGGCAAAACAACUGUGCUUUGUAAAACAUAUGUUGCAGUGUAUGUUAAAUGUUUUGUACAUUUAAUAACUAUUUAUUGAAUUUGUUAUAAAAUGGUAUUUAAAAUUUA